UGACGUUGCAGAAGCCAGAGGCCAGGGCUA
rnacentral:piRNA from 1 species